rnacentral:rRNA from 1 species
UACGUAGGGUGCGAGCGUUGUCCGGAAUUACUGGGCGUAAAGAGCUCGUAGGUGGUUUGUCGCGUUGUUCGUGAAAUCUCACGGCUUAACUGUGAGCGUGCGGGCGAUACGGGCAGACUUGAGUACUGCAGGGGGAGACUGGAAUUCCUGGUGUAGCGGUGGAAUGCGCAGAUAUCAGGAGGAACACCGGUGGCGAAGGCGGGGUCUCUGGGGCAGUAACUGACGCUGAGGAGCGAAAAGCGUGGGGGAGCGAAACAGG